rnacentral:rRNA from 1 species
UACGGGGGGGGCAAGCGUUGUUCGGAAUUACUGGGCGUAAAGGGCUCGUAGGCGGCCAACUAAGUCGGAUGUGAAAUCCCCAGGCUUAACCUGGGAACUGCAUCCGAUACUGGAUGGCUUGAAUCCGGGAGAGGGAUGCAGAAUUCCAGGUGUAGCGGUGAAAUGCGGCAGAUAUACGGAAGGCAGGGAACGACCGGUGGGC